GCGAGGGUGACCGAGCGUGGGGAGGAAGCGUGGAGCGAAACCGUGAGCCGAUGUACAAGAACCGGAUAUGAGGCGGUGCCGAUCCCGACUCGGCGGCACUGUCAACGCAAGAAAU
rfam:Burkholderia glathei PML1(12) contig00058, whole genome shotgun sequence.